UUCCUUGAGCCAGCUUGGCCUUGCCUGGCAUGCACACGCCCCAGGUACGGACACGCUGCCUUGAGUGAGCUUGUCCCGCCUUGGCACAAAUUCUAAGUUAGAAUUUGUGCCAAGGCGGGACAAGCUCACUCAAGGCAGCGUGUCCGUACCUGGGGCGUGUGCAUGCCAGGCAAGGCCAAGCUGGCUCAAGGAA
rnacentral:pre_miRNA from 1 species